UGGCUCAGAACGAACGCUGGCGGCAGGCCUAAUACAUGCAAGUCGAGCGCAUCCUUCGGGAUGAGCGGCGGACGGGUGAGUAACGCGUGGGAAUAUGCCCUUCUCUAAGGAAUAGCCUCUGGAAACGGAGAGUAAUACCUUAUACGCCCUUCGGGGGAAAGAUUUAUCGGAGAAGGAUUAGCCCGCGUUAGAUUAGGUAGUUGGUGGGGUAAUGGCCUACCAAGCCUACGAUCUAUAGCUGGUUUGAGAGGAUGAUCAGCCACACUGGGACUGAGACACGGCCCAGACUCCUACGGGAGGCAGCAGUAGGGAAUCUUAGACAAUGGGGGAAACCCUGAUCUAGCCAUGCCGCGUGUGUGAAGAAGGCCUUAGGGUCGUAAAGCACUUUCGCCAGAGAUGAUAAUGACAGUAUCUGGUAAAGAAACCCCGGCUAACUCCGUGCCAGCAGCCGCGGUAAUACGGAGGGGGUUAGCGUUGUUCGGAAUUACUGGGCGUAAAGCGCACGUAGGCGGAUUAGUAAGUUAGAGGUGAAAUCCCAGGGCUCAACCCUGGAACUGCCUUUAAUACUGCUAGUCUUGAGUUCGAGAGAGGUAAGUGGAAUUCCAAGUGUAGAGGUGAAAUUCGUAGAUAUUUGGAGGAACACCAGUGGCGAAGGCGGCUUACUGGCUCGAUACUGACGCUGAGGUGCGA
rnacentral:rRNA from 1 species